rnacentral:rRNA from 1 species
UGAGGAAUAUUGGUCAAUGGGCGGGAGCCUGAACCAGCCAAGCCGCGUGAGGGAAGAAGGCCCUAUGGGUCGUAAACCUCUUUUGUCAGGGAACAAAAGCGAGUAUGUAUACUAGUCUGAGUGUACCUGAAGAAAAAGCAUCGGCUAACUCCGUGCCAGCAGCCGCGGUAAUACGGAGGAUGCGAGCGUUAUCCGGAUUUAUUGGGUUUAAAGGGUGCGUAGGCGGCGAUGCAAGUCAGCGGUAAAAUGCCCGGGGCUCAACCCCGGCGAGCCGUUGAAACUGACAGUGCUAGAGAAGGCGAGAGGUACGCGGAAUGCGCAUUGUAGCGGUGAAAUGCUUAGAUAUUGCGCAGAACUCCGAUUGCGAAGGCAGCGUACUGGCGCCUGACUGACGCUGAGGCACGAAAGCGUGGGGAUCGAACAGGAUUAGAUACC